UUUUUUAUUGCAAUUAUUGGCGUCCAAAAGGACUUAAUAGGGAAUCCUGUGUGAAUCAGGAGCGGACCCGCCGCUGUAACUCUCAUUUAUCACCUGCAAGGGGAAAUAAAUCUUUUUUAAUAUUUGUGCCACUGUUCAAUCAGAUAUGAACGGGAAGGCCUUAAAAAAGAUGAGAGAAGUCAGAAGACCUGCCUUUAAUUCUUUUUUAAG
rnacentral:ncRNA from 2 species